CGCUGGCGGCGUGCUUAACACAUGCAAGUCGAACGGGUGAACCAGAGCUUGCUCUGGGGAUCAGUGGCGAACGGGUGAGUAACACGUGGGCAACCUGCCCCAGACUCUGGGAUAACCUCGGGAAACCGAUGCUAAUACCGGAUACGACCACUUCGGACAUCCGACGGUGGUGGAAAGUUUUUCGGUCUGGGAUGGGCCCGCGGCCUAUCAGCUAGUUGGUGGGGUAAUGGCCUACCAAGGCGACGACGGGUAGCCGGGCCUGAGAGGGCGACCGGCCACACUGGAACUGAGACACGGUCCAGACUCCUACGGGAGGCAGCAGUGGGGAAUAUUGCACAAUGGGCGAAAGCCUGAUGCAGCGACGCCGCGUGAGGGACGACGGCCUUCGGGUUGUAAACCUCUUUCAGCAGGGACGAAGCGAAAGUGACUGUACCUGCAGAAGAAGCACCGGCUAACUACGUG
rnacentral:rRNA from 1 species